UAGCAUCUAUAAUCUUACUCGCUUGUAGAGAUUGGAUAUGGAAAAUUGCAAUGUAUCAUGUCUGUCUAGUGAUAUUGGGAAUUUGAUCUCAUUAACACAUUUGGAUCUUAAUGGUAACAAUUUGUGUACCUUACCGGAUAGCAUCGGUAACCUUACUCGCUUGCAGAUAUUGAACAUGGCAUAUUGCAAUGUAUCAUAUCUGUCUAGUGAAAUUGGGAAUUUGAUCUCAUUAACAGAUUUGGAUCUUAGAGGAAACGAUUUGUGUGCCUUACCGGAUAGCAUCGGUAACCUUACUCGCUUGCAAUCAUUGAAGAUGGUAGGAUGCAAUGUAUCACAUUUGCCCAGUGAAAUUGGGAGUUUAAUCUCAUUAAGAGAUUUGAAUCUUGUAGAAAAUAAUUUGCGUUCCUUACCGGAUAGCAUCGGUAACCUUACUUGCUUGACAUUUUUGGCGAUAUCAAAUUGCAAUGUAUCAUAUUUACCCAGUGAAAUUGGGAGUUUGAUCUCAUUAACAGGUUUGUUUCUUGAUGGAAACAAUUUUUGUACACUUCCGGAUAGCAUCGGUAACCUUACUCGCUUGGUUUGUUUGCAUAUGACAAAUUGCAAUGUAUCAUAUUUACCCAGUGAAAUUGGGAGUUUGAUCUCAUUAGCAAAUUUGGUUCUUGAUGGAAACAAUCUGUGUACACUUCCGGAUAGCGUCGGCAAGCUUUAUCGCUUGAUUGGGCUAAGUAUGAACAAUUGCAAUUUGUCACAUAUGCCCAGUGCAAUUUGGAGGUUGAUGGGGCUCUCAUUAGAAUACUUGUAUCUUAAAGGCUGCCAUAAAUCAGCCGAGAGCAAUUUUGUAUAUAAUGUCAUGAAAGCAGCCAUCUGGCAGGUUCAGGAUUAUCGUAUGUUCCAUCCGAUCCAUGGUUUUGUAAAUCAUUCUAGUAUCCAUCUUACAUGGGGUGAGGUUCCCAGAUGGUUCGAGUACCAAACUGAAGGAUCAUCUUUAUCUGUCAAGGUGCCGCCCCUUGUAAAUCAAAAAAUAUGGAGCUUGGCUGUAUGCGUAAUUUACAUUGGAUCCAAUUCCAAUGAAAAAUGCAAUCAAAAAGGUUUUUUUUUUCUUGAAUACCAUAUAAACAAAGUCCAGAGGAGAUCAUAUUUAAUUGGUGAUCGCGGUGAUGGUUUAUGUAGAGAAGACCAGAUGUUCCUCAAAUUUACGUCAAUGAGUGAAUUAGAAGGCGGUGAUGAAGUGGAGAUCUUCAUAACAAAGUGUUGGCAUAUACAGGUAAAAAAGUGUGCGGCUAAAUUAAUUUUUGAGGUUGAUGAAGAUACGGAUGAUGAAGCAUAGGCCGACUACAUCUCAUCACCUUCCCCGAGUGCCAUUCAAGAAGAAGAGGAAGAAGUUGAUUAUCCAACCGAAAGAAGAAGUUGAUUCAACAGAUUAAUAAUAAAACUUAAAGCAUUGGAAGCAAACGCAGCUAGCAGGGGCACAAAGAUUUGAAGGUGGUCGUAGCUCUCCAUUGCUUUUCGAUGUCUGUUAUAAUGCUCGAAGUCUGAUGUCUGUUAUAAUGCUCGAAGGCUGCAUUGUUGUAGGAUCAGUCUUUUGCAACGUCGAGAUCUACAAAAAAAAAAAAAAAAAAAAAAGAAAAAGAAAAAGAAAAAGAAAAAGAAAAAAAAA